AGUGAACGCUGGCGGUAGGCCUAACACAUGCAAGUCGAACGGCAGCACAGUAAGAGCUUGCUCUUACGGGUGGCGAGUGGCGGACGGGUGAGGAAUACAUCGGAAUCUACUUUUUCGUGGGGGAGAACGUAGGGAAACUUACGCUAAUACCGCAUACGACCUACGGGUGAAAGCAGGGGAUCUUCCGACCUUGCGCGAUUGAAUGAGCCGAUGUCGGAUUAGCUAGUUGGCGGGGUAAAGGCCCACCAAGGCGACGAUCCGUAGCUGGUCUGAGAGGAUGAUCAGCCACACUGGAACUGAGACACGGUCCAGACUCCUACGGGAGGCAGCAGUGGGGAAUAUUGGACAAAGGGCGCAAGCCUGAUCCAGCCAUACCGCGUGUGUGAAGAAGGCCUUCGGGUUGUAAAGCCCUUUUGUUGGGAAAGAAAAGCAGCAGGUUAAUACCUCGCUGUUCUGACGGUACCAAAAGAAUAAGCACCGGCUAACUUCGUG
rnacentral:rRNA from 1 species